rnacentral:tRNA from 1 species
UCCCUAGUGGCUCAGAUGGUAAAACAUCUGCCUGCAAUGCAGGAGACCCAGGUUCGAUCCUUGGGUUGGGAA